rnacentral:rRNA from 4 species
AAACGACUCUCGGCAACGGAUAUCUCGGCUCUCGCAUCGAUGAAGAACGUAGCGAAAUGCGAUACUUGGUGUGAAUUGCAGAAUCCCGUGAACCAUCGAGUCUUUGAACGCAAGUUGCGCCCGAAGCCCUUGGGCCAAGGGCACGUCUGCCUGGGUGUCACGC